rnacentral:lncRNA from 1 species
UGGUUCUUGUAUCCACACAGCAAGGUGAUUUCUAAAAGUGGUCUUCCAACUUACAUCCAGACAAAGAUAAAAGCCACUUAUCUCCUCUUCUUAUAAUUCAUCUCUGUUUCCAAGAUCAGUGCAAUGUCAAUUCUUUCCUUCCAAAUUAGCAAGUUUUCAAAAAGCGUUUGUGUGGACAAUUUCAAUGAAAUGAAUGUUAAGUGUUCUGCCAAAUAAAAAAAGAAUUUAGGAGAUGGUAAGGCCAAAUUCUAAGAAUGUAUCUCCUUUGUGACAAAAGAUGCUAGGUACAUUUGGUUAUCCUUGGUUCAAAUUCUAAAUCUGAAUAACAUCGCUGACAAGUUUUUGGAUGCAUUAUAUGAAACUCUUUUUAAACUCCUUGUCACAUCUUAUGACAGGUCUUAAAUAGCAGCCAAUCUCCACGAAGAAAAUACUGCACAAGGGUGUUGUCAGUGUCAGCUGGCCCAAAUGAUGAGUCUGAGAUUGGUAUGCCUGCCCAUGAAUCUGAGUGCCCUGUGGACUCAUUGCUUCCACUGUACCUCAGAAUGGUUGAGCUUCCUGAACAGAGGGAGAAAAAGCAAGUGGAUAAGGACAGAGUCAACGGAAGGACAAAUAGAUAUCUGCCCUCUAAUGACCCAGAGGCACUUCAAACUUUCUUGGCAGAAAAACAAUUUGUAUGAUUAAACAGAACUUACAAAUAAUGUCAAUGUGUCCUCUUGCCCUUGAAUAUAAGAACCAAAGCUAUGUUCAACCCUAAAAUUACUGUAAAUAACAUCAAUGAAUCUCAAAAGUUAUACUAAGUAAAAACAAAAGCCAGAUGAAAAUGACUGCAUACACACCCCAAGGUUACAUUUAUAUGUCAUCCUGGAAAAGGCAAAACUGCAAUGUCAGAAAACCAUUAUCGUUGACAGCCAAUGACCAGUAUAACUGGUGGAGAAGAUUGAGUGCAAAAGGACACAAAGACACUUUUUAAAGUGAUGGGAAUAUUAUGUAUCAUAAUUGUG